AGAGUUUGAUCCUGGCUCAGGAUGAACGCUGGCGGUAUGCUUAACACAUGCAAGUCGAACGGUGUCUUCAGACAUAGUGGCGGACGGGUGAGUAACGCGUGACAAUCUAGCUUCAGGUCUGGGACAACCACUGGAAACGGUGGCUAAUACCGGAUGUGCCGGAAGGGUGAAAGGCUUGCUGCCUGAAGAUGAGCUCGCGUCCGAUUAGCUAGUAGGUGGGGUAAGAGCCUACCUAGGCGACGAUCGGUAGCUGGUCUGAGAGGAUGACCAGCCACACUGGGACUGAGACACGGCCCAGACUCCUACGGGAGGCAGCAGUGGGGAAUUUUCCGCAAUGGGCGAAAGCCUGACGGAGCAAUACCGCGUGAGGGAGGAAGGCUCUUGGGUUGUAAACCUCUUUUCUCAGGGAAGAACACAAUGACGGUACCUGAGGAAUCAGCAUCGGCUAACUCCGUGCCAGCAGCCGCGGUAAUACGGAGGAUGCAGGCGUUAUCCGGAAUGAUUGGGCGUAAAGCGUCCGCAGGUGGCUGUGUAAGUCUGCUGUCAAAGAGCAAAGCUCAACUUUGUAAAGGCAGUGGAAACUACACGGCUAGAGUGCGUUCGGGGCAGAGGGAAUUCCUGGUGUAGCGGUGAAAUGCGUAGAGAUCAGGAAGAACACCGGUGGCGAAGGCGCUCUGCUAGGCCGCAACUGACACUGAGGGACGAAAGCUAGGGGAGCGAAUGGGAUUAGAUACCCCAGUAGUCCUAGCUGUAAACGAUGGAUAC
rnacentral:rRNA from 1 species